UUAAAAUAAGGUGCAAGUGAAAUUUUUUAUAUUAAAUGCUUGUGUUGUAAAUAAAUAGAUUUUACUGAACUUUUUCUAGCUCAGGGGUCAAAGGUGGGCUUUCCAGAAAGGAUGAGUUGUACAACAACUUAAUUGAGACCUUUUUUAAGCAACACAAGUUGGAUCUCCCUAAACCAGUGCUACAGACAGAGGGCAGCUAUAUAGUUCAAAUUUGACUUUUACUUUGGUGUUAUGUAACGCGCUGUGGUACAUUACGAACCAACAUUUGACUAUCAACGAUGCUGCACAUGACAGACAGGAUCUAACUCCAAUUCCUGAUGCAUUUGACAUGUACCAAGGGUUUAAUGAGGUCAAAAGGAAGAAAAUGAAACAGAUGCCUCUUGAUGCUGGAUGUCUUAAAUCUCAUGCAGAAACUUUAUAUAGUGUUCUAUUGAGACCCAUAACUUCUUCUACUGAAGCAUGGAGGAAGGGAAGUAAAGAAAUUCAGGGCCUGGCUGACUGUUUUGAUUCCUAUAGCAACUACCUAAAAAGAAAGAAUGAAGAAAUGCAGACAACUCAUGCAGAGAUGCAUCCUGCAAGAACAAUUGCUGAAGAUGCAACUAUUGAGCAUAGGACACCAUCAUCAUUGGUUAAGCAGCAAUACCACCUGCUUGAUGCUAUCAUAAAAGGAAAGGAAGUUGGAGAAUUUUUUAUUUUUGAUGAAAAAGAGCAUGUUAAUGAACCAUUUAUUGACUCAAAGCAGAAAUACCGAUUCCUUCAGGGUCUUCAGCUGUCUGUUCCAAUAGACAUACUUAAAUUCAGUCCAGGUGGAUCAACAACAUCCUCAUUCAUAAUCUGUAGAACACUAGAGAACCGUGCAGAGUCACAGAUAUUAGUUCAGGGUGCCAGGUUGUUGCAGACAGCAAGAUCAGAAAUUCAGGAAUU